GAUACGAUAUUCUGUCCGAUCGAUCCGUGAAAAAACUAACGAAUGCCAAAGUACUGUCCAAAUAAGACUAUACUUUGUGAAUUUCGUUAAGGUUCUGAUCUCGUGACCAUCGUUAGGUUUGAUAUGGUUUAACACUAAUACAUAUUCCACUAUGUUAAACUAAAUGUUUAACUACCAGAAAACUCUGCACUAUACACUUACAAUCAAAAUAGACGCUUAAAUUACCAGAAGAUUCAGAACUAUAAGUAGAUGUGUAAUCAUCAGAAGACUUCGAAUCAAGAUGCUUGUUUAAUCAAGAGUAUGUGCUACCAAAGUGAUUAUGGUAUAUUGGAAUAAGAGCUGUGAUACGGCACCGAACGACUUAAAGAAGUGGCUUAUUUUAUCAAAUGAAUUAAAUGUUAUUUUUAUGUAUUCGGGUUUAUCCCAUAUUAAAGUUAUCUUUGUAAAACAUGGGUUUAUUCCCAUCUGUUUAAUAAUAAAUCCGGUGUUUUAAAACUUU